rnacentral:sRNA from 1 species
AUAUUGGUAGAUUCAGUUCCAACAGCAAAACUUUCUCUUGGUUCAGUGGCAACUGUUAAUAGCCUUAUCAAGUGCACCGUAGAAAGGAUCAAGGGUGCUUUGCUGUGCGAAGGUGCAUGACCAAAAGGUCUGCUUCCUGGUAAGCCUUUCUUUUUAAACUUAUUCUUGGAUUUGACAAGUAAUUAUUCUACCUUAUGCCCUGUUCUGAAAGAUAUCCCCUUAGAGCUUUCCAUGCCUGAAAGCAGGAAAUAUUUAUUUAGAUGGAAAUGUGAUAAAUUUUAUAAGUACAUGCUGUACUCCUAAAUAAACCAACCUUUGAUAUUGCAAAAAAAAAGUAGACAGACAUGAAAACUGAUUUUACAUUUUAAAAUCUACUUCUGGUUAGUGCUACAACUAUCUGUUAAAUAUUUGAUCAACCAUAAACGAAGCAUCUUCCUUUUUUUUCGCCUAAAUCUUGACAGUCGCUACGUCCUUAAAAACAGUUUCUUCAUUCUGACAUCAUUUUUUGACUGUCUUAUGUUGCAGUUUAGACUUGAAACGAAGAGCAAAUGGGAAAGAAGAAUAUGUUUACCGUAGGAUGUGGGAGGAAGGAAAGAAGUCAAGAACGCACCUUGUAUAAUC